AGCUGUCUGUGCACCCAGCCGGCCAGGGCUGCUUCCGGGCCGGCGUCCAGGGGGUCUGGCCAACUGCCUCCACGAGGGAGACUUCCAUGACAAGACCGCCGCCCCAGCCUGGAGCAGGGGUCUAGGUCAGAGCUGCGGCAAGUGGGCUUUCAGAAGGGCUGUCCAGCUUUCAGCAGGGGACCGACCAUCACCAAGCUCUGUUGAGUUCCUAUCUACAAGAACUUCACACUGCAGCUAGACUUCUUCCUCACAUCACCAAGCAGCCCUCAUGGCUUAAGCUUAACACAGGAGAACAGAAGCAGGAGGAGAAUGACAAAAUCCAGUGGGCCUACCUUGAAGCAACUCCCCAGGAACUUUUCCACCAGAAAUGGGGGAGGCCAGGACAAAGCACUCCUUAAUGGACCUAGGUUGCUGCUUCAAAGUGGGUUGAGCUCCACCUUCUUCAUGUCCCAUCUGAUCACAAACAACUUGUUUC